UACGUAGGGGGCAAGCGUUGUCCGGAUUUAUUGGGCGUAAAGAGCGUGUAGGCGGCUAGGUAGGUGGGUUGUGAAAACUGGAGGCUCAACCUUCAGACGUCGACCCAAACCCCCUGGCUAGAGGAUGGCAGAGGCAAGUGGAAUUGGUAGUGUAGCAGUGAAAUGCGUAGAUAUUACCAGGAACACCAAUGGCGAAGGCAGCUUGCUGGGCCAUUUCUGACGCUGAGGUACGAAAGCGUGGGGAGCGAACAGG
rnacentral:rRNA from 1 species